AGUGAACGCUGGCGGCAGGCCUAACACAUGCAAGUCGAACGGCAGCACAGUAAGCGCUUGCUCUUACGGGUGGCGAGUGGCGGACGGGUGAGGAAUACAUCGGAAUCUACUUUUUCGUGGGGGAUAACGUAGGGAAACUUACGCUAAUACCGCAUACGAUCUACGGGUGAAAGCAGGGGAUCUUCGGACCUUGCGCGAUUGAAUGAGCCGAUGUCUGAUUAGUUAGUUGGGAGGGUAAAGGCCCACCAAGUCGACGAUCCGUACCUGGUCUGAGAGGAUGAUCAGCCACACUGGAACUGAAACACGGUCCAGACUCCUACGGGAGGCAGCAUUGGGGAAUAUUGGACAAUGGGCGCAAGCCUGAUCCAGCCAUACCGCGUGGGUGAAGAAGUCCUUCGGGUUGUAAAGCCCUUUUGUUGGGAAAGAAAAGCAGGAGAGUAAUACCCCGAUGUUCUGACGGUACCCAAAGAAUAAGCACCGGCUAACUUCGUG
rnacentral:rRNA from 1 species